UACGUAGGGUGCAAGCGUUGUCCGGAAUUAUUGGGCGUAAAGAGCUCGUAGGCGGUCUGUCGCGUCGGAUGUGAAAAUCCAGGGCUCAACCCUGGACCUGCAUUCGAUACGGGCAGACUAGAGUUCGGCAGGGGAGACUGGAAUUCCUGGUGUAGCGGUGAAAUGCGCAGAUAUCAGGAGGAACACCGGUGGCGAAGGCGGGUCUCUGGGCUGAUACUGACGCUGAGGAGCGAAAGCGUGGGGAGCGAACAGG
rnacentral:rRNA from 1 species